UUCCUGUGUUGUCUGGAUUGUUUAAUAUUUAUUGUUUUGGAACAGUCAGUUUUUUCUUUAUUUAUAGUGGUGGUAAAUAACAAAGUAAUAAAUUUUGUUUCGGUAAGUCUGUGCGAACGGACACGUCGUACUUUUACGCCGGUAACUCAGUUAGGGCCCGGGCUGUUCAACAGACCACGGCUGAGGAUAGACUCCUGAGCACUGGGAUCCUGCACUGCACAAGCUAUUGAUUGUGGGGAAAAAGGAGAAAGUAACCAGCAGAGAACGGUCACACUGCUGAACAUUUGACGGAAGAAGGUGCAGGAUGAGUGACAGUCAAUCAAAGUAGGAGCAAGCAGUUCUGAAGGCUUUUCUUCCAGCGGAGUAGUAGAAGAAUCCUGUGUGACCUUCACUGACCUCCUCGAGCGACCAGAUGUUGCCGGGUUCCCUGCAUCGUUUCUCAGCUCAGCCCCAGCGGCCUCACUGCGGCUCCUCCGCCGAGAGACUCGCUGACCGGCGUUAGUCACCACAGCAGAUUUGGCUGUCAGCAUGCCCCCCCAUUCUCUACAGCGAAGGCCUGGAGCUCCUCUCAUGCAUGCUAUGUCAGUCAGCGCUUGCCUGGAGACACAUUGCCAUGUCUGGU